rnacentral:rRNA from 1 species
UACGGGGGGUGCGAGCGUUGUUCGGAAUCACUGGGCGUAAAGGGCGUGUAGGCGGUCAAGUAAGUGGAAUGUGAAAUCCCUCGGCUCACCCGAGGACCUGCAUCCCAAACUGCUUGGCUUGAGUAUGGGAGAGGAUGAGGGAAUUCCUGGUGUAGCGGUGAAAUGCGUAGAUAUCAGGAGGAACACCGGUGGCGAAAGCGCUCAUCUGGCCCAAUACUGACGCUGAAGCGCGAAAGCUAGGGGAGCAAACGGG